GCGAACAGAAAGGCAGCUCGACAGCCCAGGACUGCACCAAGGAGACAGUCACAAGCUGGCUCCCUUCAGCAUGAUUUUGUUUAUACAACUGAGGGCUGAAGAGUUUUGCAAUUUUCACGAAGGGAAAAUAUCCUUUGAUGUCUUCCUUACAGUUGGCAAGAAAAUAAGAGUUCUUUACCUGGCUCUGGCUUUACCAUAGCCCAAUCUCAAAGGAUUAUAAUCUAAUUCAAUGAAAUAAAUACCUGGCCUCCCUAGUCCCCGAGACACAACAAUGUUGAAGAAUUUUACAUAUACUUAGUUGAUAAAGCAGUGCAAGGUUUGUGAGGAUUGACUCCAAAAUACUAUCAAACAGCAUCACGUGCCACAGAGAAAUUUUUCAUGCAAGGAAGAGUCAAUCAAUGCAGCAAACUUCAUUGUUGUCUUACUUUAAGAAAUUGCCACAGCUACCCCAUUCUUCAAUAACUACCACCCUGAUCAGUCAGCAACCAUCAACAUCGAGGCAAGACCCUCCACCGACAAAAAGUUUAUGACUCACUGAAGGUUCAGAUAACGGUUAACAUUUUUCUUAUAGUAAAGUAUUUUUUAAUCAAGGUAUGUGCAUU